GCAUGUAAGGUUUCAGAAGCGAGAAGAGUUUUGUCAGAGUGCGCCGCGGAAGCAUGUUGAGGUUCUCGAGGAAGUUGAGGUUUGCUGGAGGUGUCUCCUAAAGAAAGGGUGAUUCGUUAAGGGCAAAAAGGUAAAUUAGCUCUCAAAUACAUUGAACCCUUGAAAUCCUGCAAAGGAUUGGGAAUGUAUUUCACGAGUUAGAUUUACCUACUUCAAAGAAAGAGCCCCAUCCGUUUUUCCAUGUUUCCACGGUAUAUGAGUUCGUGUCGGGUCCGAGUGAGGCUCUGGAAAGAACCAGAAGUGGAGAUCAUAGAGGAUCUCACCUAUGUUGAGCAGCUAGUACGGACCGCCGACACACAGGUCAGAAAGUGUGGAAACAAGGAAAUCCCGAUAGUGAAAGUCCCUUAGAAUCACCUUAAGAUGAAAAGUGCACCAGGGAGACCGUGAGUUCCUACUCCAGUAAUACCGUAUUUCUUAUAGACUAGAGUUUAUGUGUUGUUAUGAUUGUGCUUAUGUUAUGUCUAUGCAUGUGCCUGUUUGUUUGAACAUUCGGGGACGAAUGUUCUUAAAGGGGGGAAGAAUGUAAUGCCCGGCUAGAUUCCGGCAUCGGAAUCCCUACCUUCCGGCGGAAUCUCCGUUGGAAUCUGGAAUUUUGAUGAUGCCAGAGUCUUCUUGUAGGGUAAAAGGUGUUUUCUAAAAUGUUUUUACUGAUUUCAUGGUUUUAAAUGAAAAAGAUUUGAGUUUUGAAAGGAAUAGAACCAAGGAGGC
rnacentral:lncRNA from 1 species